rnacentral:rRNA from 1 species
UACGGAGGGGACUAGCGUUGUUCGGAAUUACUGGGCGUAAAGCGCGCGUAGGCGGAUUUGCAAGUCGGGGGUGAAAUCCCGAGGCUCAACCUCGGAACUGCCUUCGAUACUGCAAAUCUCGAGUCCGGAAGAGGUGAGUGGAAUUCCUAGUGUAGAGGUGAAAUUCGUAGAUAUUAGGAAGAACACCAGUGGCGAAGGCGGCUCACUGGGUCUUUUCUGACGCUGAGGAACGAAAGCUAGGGGAGCAAACGGG